AGUAGGAGGGCGCGGCGGUCG
rnacentral:snRNA from 1 species